rnacentral:lncRNA from 10 species
CCUUGCGCCGGUUUCCGCUUCUCGUGGGUCCUGCGGCGGCGGCGGCGGCCAAGCGGCGUUCACCAGGGAGUCGGUGAGCGCGCGGACUGUCCCGAGGCCAAGCUGGGGCCGUUCCAGGGUGCUCGGUCCGGUGGUCACGGGGCCUGGAGGCCCCUGGGCCCGCGGAGGCCGCGGCCGGGCUCUGUCAGCCAGCUCGGCGUUGGACACUCGCCUUACUCGCGGCUCCUAACGGGGCGGGCCGGGGGCACAGCCCUCGUCCGCCGCCAUUGCCACUUGACGUCGUGUCACGUAGGCUCGGCGGAGUAGCAGCGCGCAUGCGCGGCCUGCCUGUCAGUAACCACGUGAUGGACCCGGAAGCCCGAGGGCAGAUGCUAAAUGAUGGCCAUUUGACAUUUGCGUGUGUUCACUAUGGAUAGUUUUACCAAGUACAUUGAUUUGGGCCCUUACAGCUUACAAAGUAAAGAUAACACUUACUCCUCCAAGAAAUUGAUUUCAGCUAAGCAAAACAUUGAUACAGGGCUAUAAUGGAAGUGUUGGACUCAUAAACGUUUUAUGAAAUCAGUGUGUGUGUAUUACAGAAAUCAGAAAUGAGAAGUAAGAACAUGUCUGGGAGAGUGUGACAUAAGAAAAAUAACUUGUAGGCGUAUUUAACAGACAGCAGCAGUUCUCAGGAUUCCCCAUGUUAGAGCCUUCCUUCCUGUCCUCUGAGAAAUGAAAAUGAAAUCCAAAGACCCCCAACUGACUACACGAACCCCCUACUGGCUAAGGAGAUCCCAGGGUUGCCUUGAAGGCAGUUCUCAGCCAUGACAGAUGGGAGUUUCGGCCCAAUUGACCAGUAUUCCUUACUGAUAAGAGACACUGACCAUGGAGUGGUUCUGGUGAGAUGACAUGACCCUCGUGAAGGGGCCUGAAGCUUCAUUGUGUUUGUGUAUGUUUCUCUCUUCAAAAAUAUUCAUGACUUCUCCUGUAGCUUGAUAAAUAUGUAUAUUUACACACUGCA